UUUUUUAAACCCACUAUGUGCACAAAAGGGGGAAAAAACCAAAACGGCAAAAUCCCGAGAAAUCAAAAGGGUAAAAAUCAAGAACAAAGAAGAACGACGGUGGAGGUCGGAGAUUCGGAGCUGAUGUGAUCGUCAUCACCAUCAAUAGUUCACCUCCCAAUUUCCUCUCCGUUGACGAUGAAAAUCACCAGCUCCGUCCGCUGUUUUGUUUGAGGAGAAAAAGUAAAAGGCUGAAAAGGAUUAACUUUUGAGUUUUGGUAUUGAAUUGCAUGGAUUUAGGCAUUUAGCUUUGUGUUGGAACUACAUUGAAUCAUUGAUAUUAUUUUGAUUCCUGGAUUCUUAGAUGUUCUUUCAUGUAUUUAAUCGGGCAAUGGGCAGCAACUGAGGCUUUAUGUGAAAUUUGAAUUUCAUAGAGUUUAGACAUUGAGGCAAUCAGAUCCUGGAGCUUGGGUGCUAUUUCUGUGAUUAUCAAGAGAGCUGGGAACUGAAGGUCAAACACUUGAAAAAACCAUCACUGGACAUAUGAUUAGAAGUAGCUACAGGAACACGAUGAAUUUAAGUUAUUAGUUUUCUCUUUUUUGGAGUUGAUAACUAAUUUAUAUAAUAAUAUUCUCUUGAGUGGCCAAGACAAUUUCGCCUGCUGAUCCAGUAAUGAAUGUUAAUUGUCCUCUGGCAGUUCAUAUUACUCUUUCAUGUCCCUCUAUAAAAGUAUGGAUUUUUGACUGCUAUGAAAUAAUCUUCUAUACUCAGGUUACUCUUACAUUUCAUUAAAUCUAAUUUAUUAACAUUUUGUGAAACUACAGGAGAGUUGAUUGAUAUAAUUUUUGUUCUAAUUUUACAGUUU